rnacentral:rRNA from 1 species
ACUCCUACGGGAGGCAGCAGUGGGGAAUAUUGCACAAUGGGCGCAAGCCUGAUGCAGCCAUGCCGCGUGUGUGAAGAAGGCCUCGGUUGUAAAGCACUUUCAGUUGUGAGGAAGGUGGUGUCGUUAAUAGCGGCAUCAUUUGACGUUAGCAACAGAAGAAGCACCGGCUAACUCCGUGCCAGCAGCCGCGGUAAUACGGAGGGUGCGAGCGUUAAUCGGAAUUACUGGGCGUAAAGCGCAUGCAGGUGGUUUGUUAAGUCAGAUGUGAAAGCCCGGGGCUCAACCUCGGAACUGCAUUUGAAACUGGCAGACUAGAGUACUGUAGAGGGGGUAGAAUUUCAGGUGUAGCGGUGAAAUGCGUAGAGAUCUGAAGGAAUACCGGUGGCGAAGGCGGCCCCCUGGACAGAUACUGACACUCAGAUGCGAAAGCGUGGGGAGCAAACAGGAUUAGAUACCCUGGUAGCACAAG